AAGGAGAAUGGCAGAAUUCGUACAGCAUACUUUUUUGGUGUUCCCUGAUAAAAUUUGUACCACUUAUUGAGGGAACUAAACCAUUCAUUUUUUUGUAAAAAUAAUAUUUUUAGAAGCUGGGGUUUAGCAAAUAUAUCAAUUAAAAGAUUUUAGUAACGAAACGUAAUAUAAUGAAACGAAACGUAGAAGACAUGUUUAGUUAGUUGCCAUUAAUAAAAUAUCAGAAGGCUCGAAAUGAUAAAUCAAUAUUUUGAAAUAGAAAUAACAGUAAAUAUAAUUAACCAAUUACAGGUUAUACCUUAGAAUAUAUAAUUAAUGCAUAUAUAUGCAUAGAAUCUUUAUAUUUAUAGGAAUUAUUUUUGCCAUCAGUAUUUUUUUUGUAAUGGCAAUUAUUUAUUGACAGCUUCGUAAAAUCCCUAAUCUUUCAAAGUCUGUCCAGUUUUUGCCGUUGUUUUGUUUUGGAUUGUAGUUAGUAACUUCAUCUAAACAAUUUAGCAAUUAUCUGGCCGUUUUUACGUUGAGUUGAGCAACUGCUUCUCCGUUCUCCAUCUGUUGAUACUACUUUCGCGAAAGGACGCUUUAUUAAUUGUGUUGUGUGUUACGUGUUUUAUUGAAAAUGACGAGUUUGCAAUGCAUCAAUUGCAAUGUUCGCUUGUCCCGAAGAAGAAGACACGCUUUAUCAAAUGACGGUGAAGAUAUCGUCAACACUAAUCGUCUGUGGACAUAUCUUAGAGAUAUUACACCAGAUGACCAUGUUUACCAUGAAUGCUGGCAGCUAGCUAGUCAUUCAUGUUCUUCUGAUAAUAUGCCGAGAAGACACAUAGGCCAUCGGUGUUUGUGUUGUAUGUGGACAACCCAUACUAAGAAUCAGGCAAUGCAGAAUUUUGAUUGAAGAAAAACAAAGAACGGCUUACACAAUUGCUACUUAGAUAUAACCACGACAGCGUCAUCCUGACGAUAAAGCUUGUGUGCGGUGUUGGUUAAGAGUGAAAACUAAGGAUACUUCACCAAAUGAAGAUAUUCAACCCGUUGAACCUUAUCAGCAGGAAAGUGAUAAUUCUGAACUGAUGUGUGCUGCAUGUGGUCAAAGUCUUACUCCCGACAACACUGCUUGUUUGUUGGAGCACCAGCAGACACCUUCCAUUAAUGAAGUUUGUGAAGUUUGCUGGGGCCAAGUAUGCAAUUUGAACUUCUAUGUUCAAGAUGGUCUAUGUUGCUUCAAGCUAAAAUAAAGUCCUGCCACUCUUCUCCUAGAACUUAUUUUGUUUUCAUAGUUGCAGAAACAAAUAUGAAUAGCCGGGACACAAUCAAAAGUGAUUGCUGUAAUUGUAUUGUAGGUUUAAGAACAGUGGGAUGCCGCUCACAUGUUAUGAGCAUUCUUUGGUAUUUGAGUUAUGCUUGCCAUGAGGGUAUCAGCCGACCUGCCCCUUUCUUGGAUGAAGUAAUAUUAAGAACCAAUCAAGUAAUUAUAAGAAAACUAGCGGACCCGACAGACGUUGUCCUGUCUACUCGUUAAUUUGAAAAUUUUAAACUUUUUUAAUAAGCUAAAACAUUCUGGACCUUUUUGAUGAAAAUUAUUAUUCAAAUGUUAUGACAAUAUCUAACGUCAUUAAUAUUUGACACUGCGAUGGUAGCGCCGUCCGUCGGAUCCGAUGUAAAACAUUCCAAAAUCAACAACUACUAAUAAAUUAAAAAUUAAAUAAAAAAACUUUGUCCAGCAGACAAAAUUGUGAAUCUAAACCAUUCUCAGAUCCUCUUGAACACACACAAUAAGUUUCAUCAAAAUCCGUCUAGUCGUUUAAGAGGAGUUCAGUGACAUACACACGUACAGAAGAAUUAUAUAUAAAGGGUGUCCCAACAAGAACGCAAGAUUUAAAUUUUAAAUAAAACGCAGAUACUUAUUUAAAAAAAAUCGUGAAUGCUUUAUAAUAUCGUAAAGUAGAGAGGAUGAGGUUAUCUAAGGAACAAUACAUCGGGCAGAUGGCUGCCGCUGGUUUGCUGAAACAUACGCGAUCUUUCAA